rnacentral:rRNA from 1 species
AGAGUUUGAUCAUGGCUCAGGAUGAACGCUGGCGGCGUGCCUAAUACAUGCAAGUCGAGCGAAUGGAUUAAGAGCUUGCUCUUAUGAAGUUAGCGGCGGACGGGUGAGUAACACGUGGGUAACCUGCCCAUAAGACUGGGAUAACUCCGGGAAACCGGGGCUAAUACCGGAUAACAUUUUGCACUGCAUGGUGCGAAAUUGAAAGGCGGCUUCGGCUGUCACUUAUGGAUGGACCCGCGUCGCAUUAGCUAGUUGGUGAGGUAACGGCUCACCAAGGCAACGAUGCGUAGCCGACCUGAGAGGGUGAUCGGCCACACUGGGACUGAGACACGGCCCAGACUCCUACGGGAGGCAGCAGUAGGGAAUCUUCCGCAAUGGACGAAAGUCUGACGGAGCAACGCCGCGUGAGUGAUGAAGGCUUUCGGGUCGUAAAACUCUGUUGUUAGGGAAGAACAAGUGCUAGUUGAAUAAGCUGGCACCUUGACGGUACCUAACCA